GACGAACGCUGGCGGCGUGCUUAACACAUGCAAGUCGAACGGAAAGGCCCUGCUUUUGUGGGGUUCUCGAGUGGCGAACGGGUGAGUAACACGUGAGUAACCUGCCCUUGACUUUGGGAUAACUUCAGGAAACUGGGGCUAAUACCGGAUAGGAGCUCCUGCUCCACGUGGGGGGUUGGAAAGUUUCGGCGGUUGGGGAUGGACUGGAGGCUUAUGCGCUUGUUGGUGGGGUUGUUGCUUCCGAAGGGUUUGACGGGUAGCCUGCCUGGGAGGGUGACCGGGCACCAUGGGACUGCGAUACGGAGCAGACUCCAACGGGACGCAGCAGUGGGGAGUAUUGCAGAGUGGCGGGAAGUCAGAUGUAGAGACGCUGCGUGCGGGAUGACGGCCUACGGGUUGUAAACCGCUUUCGCCUGUGACGAAGCGUGAGUGACGGUAAUGGGUAAAGAAGCACCGGCUAACUACGUG
rnacentral:rRNA from 1 species